GACGAACCGUGCGAACGUUAUUCGGAAUCACUGGGCUUAAAGCGCGUGUAGGCGGGCCGGCACGUCGGUCGCUGAAAUCCCCCGGCUCAACCGGGGAAGGGGCGCCGAUACGACCGGCCUGGAGGGGCGUAGGGGGACCUGGAACUUCCGGUGGAGCGGUGAAAUGCGUUGAGAUCGGAAGGAACGCCCGUGGCGAAAGCGAGGUCCUGGACGCCUGCUGACGCUGAGACGCGAAAGCCAGGGGAGCCGAACGGG
rnacentral:rRNA from 1 species